rnacentral:rRNA from 1 species
UACAGAGGGUGCAAGCGUUAAUCGGAAUUACUGGGCGUAAAGCGUGCGUAGACGGUUAUUUAAGUCAGGUGUGAAAGCCCAGGGCUCAACCUUGGAAUUGCAUUUGAGACUGAAUAGCUAGGGUGCGGAAGAGGGAAGCGGAAUUUCCGGUGUAGCGGUGAAAUGCGCAGAUAUCAGGAGGAACACCGGUGGCGAAGGCGGUUCUCUGGGCAUUACCUGACGCUGAGGAGCGAAAGUGUGGGGAGCGAACAGG